rnacentral:lncRNA from 13 species
AAAACACGGUGCACCGGUUUAAAAGUACAAUCAAAUUCAUUGCUGUCUGCCGACAGUGACUGAGCAGACUGAUUGUUUGACAUGGCAUUUUCUGCCAGACCUCUUAGUCAAACAGCUCUUAUUUGCUCCCCCUUCAUAGUAGCAGCCUGAAACAAGGUUCUAAAGACUGUUGACAUCUAGUGGAAGCCUUAGAAAGUGCAAUAUGACCCCAUAGACACUGUAUAUUGGAUAGGCAAAGACUUGAAAACCUACAAACCUCAGAUUUCCCACUUCCUGGUUGGAUUUUUCUCAGGUUUUUGUCUGCCAUAUGAGUUAUGUUAUACUCACAGACAUCAUUCAAUCAGUUUUAGAAACUUCAGAGUGUUUUCUAUCCAAAUCUACUAAUUAUAUGCAUAUUCUAGCUUUUGGUGUCAUGUAUUGUCAUGUUGUGUCUUGUUUCUGUCCUUUCCCUUCAACCCUGUCUCCCUCUGCUGGUCGUUAUUAGGUUACCUUUUCUCCCCCUCUUUCCCCCAGCUGUUCCUUGUCUCCUCCUAACUACCUCGUCACCCCUUUUCCCACCUGUUCCCUUUUUCCCUCUGAUUAGUCCUCUAUAUCUCUCUCUGUCUCUCUCUGUUUUUGUUUCUGUCUUUGUCGGAUUCUUGUUUGUGUUAUUCAUGCCCGAACCAGACUAUCGUCAUGUUUGCUGCAACCUUGUCCUGUCCUGUCGGAAUCUGCCGGUCCAUCUGAGCCUACGUUUGUUUUGUUAUUAAAGAAGCUCUGUUUACGUUAAUUCGCUUUUGGGUCCUCAUUCACGCACCUAACAUUUGGGCCUGAGUAGCAGGCAGUUUACUCUGGGCACCUUAGUCAUCCAAGCUACACAAUACUGCCCCCCAGUCCCAUAGAAGUGAUAUUAUCCUGCAUUCCUUUCACAUUUCCACAAACUUCAAAGUGUUUCCUUUCAAAUGGUACCAAUAAUAUGUUACCUCAUUAACCCUCCUCAGGACUUUAAACGGCCCCACAAACCGCGGGCUCAGCUUCCAGCAGGGCAGGCGGAGGGGCAGGUUCUGGGUGGAGAGCCAGAUCCGGUCACCUGGUGGCGGUCGGCCUGUUCCUUGUGCGCUUGGCUUGGCGCUCUUGAGAUGAGUUCUCCUCAGCAGGCUCGGAUCCCAAGGUGCCAGGGUCAGCUGAUACUCCUUUCCAGUGUGUGUUGG